GUCCUCUUCCCAUAACUCCUUGCUUUUCUUGCUGAAACCAACUGUUAGCCCCACCAAAGGACCAUUUUGUCCAUUUCAUUCUUGUUAACAAAAUAUGUGGAUAGAAUACAAAGGUCUUUGUUGUCUAUAAGACCAACAUGACCAUUAGAUUUAGUUCAAGACCAUUAAAUAAGGUUCAAACAACCUGAAAUAUAUAAAAAGGGAAAAAGAAAUGAGCUGGAUAUAACAAAAAACACUCCUUACGGGGGUAACCCUGGAAAUUGAAUUAGCAAAAGGAAAAAAGAAGAGUGGAGUGUCUUUUACACAAGAUAUAGGGAAGAGUAGAUACUGGUAGUUGUAAGGAGAAGAGAGAUCAGUAGCUAUGCCAGUGGUGAUAGUCUGAUGAAGAUGCAAACAUAAUUAUAACUACAAAUAGAGACGUAAAGAGUAAUACAAACCUACCUCCACUGAAACUAUAGCCCUAUUUGUGCCUUCAAGUGCACCUAGAGAAAUUCUCAAUACUAAUGCUGUUGCUAAAGUUCCUAUAACACUAUAAUGCGGGUCCUAU